rnacentral:rRNA from 1 species
CCUACGGGUGGCAGCAGUGGGGAAUAUUGGGCAAUGGAGGCAACUCUUACCCAGCAAUGCCGCGUGAAUGAAGAAGGUCUUCGGAUUGUAAAGUUCUUUAAUUGGGGACGAAAAAAAUGACGGUACCCAAGGAAUAAGCCCCGGCUAACUACGUGCCAGCAGCCGCGGUAAUACGUAGGGGGCAAGCGUUGUUCGGAAUGACUGGGCGUAAAGGGUGUGUAGGCGGGACUGCAAGUCAGAUGUGAAACCCAUGGGCUCAACCCAUGGCCUGCAUUUGUAACUGUAGUUCUUGAGUGAUGGAGAGGCAGGCGGAAUUCCGUGUGUAGCGGUGAAAUGCGUAGAUAUACGGAGGAACACCAGUGGCGAAGGCGGCCUGCUGGACAUUAACUGACGCUGAGGCGCGAAAGCGUGGGGAGCAAACAGGAUUAGAUACCCGGGUAGUC